rnacentral:tRNA from 1 species
GCCUGGAUGGCUCAGUCGGUUGAGCAUCUGACUUCAGCUCAGGUCACGAUCUCACUAUCCAUGAGUUCAAGUCCCAUGUGGGGCU